AUUGAACGCUGGCGGCAGGCCUAACACAUGCAAGUCGAACGGUAACAGGAAGAAGCUUGCUUCUUUGCUGACGAGUGGCGGAAGGGUGAGUAAUGUCUGGGAAACUGCCGGAUGGAGGGGGAUAAUUACUGGAAACGGUAGCUAAUACCGCAUAACGUCGCAAGACCAAAGAGGGGGACCUUCGGGCCUCUUGUCAUAGGAUGUGCCCAGAUGGGAUUAGCUAGUAGGUGGGGUAACGGCUCACCUAGGCGACGAUCCCUAGCUGGUCUGAGAGGAUGACCAGCCACACUGGAACUGAGACACGGUCCACACUCCUACGGGAGGCAGCAGUGGGGAAUAUUGCACAAUGGGCGCAAGCCUGAUGCAGCCAUGCCGCGUGUAUGAAGAAGGCCUUCGGGUUGUAAAGUACUUUCAGCGGGGAGGAAGGGACUAAAGUUAAUACCUUUGCUCAUUGACGUUACCCGCAGAAUAAGCACCGGCUAACUCCGUG
rnacentral:rRNA from 1 species